rnacentral:rRNA from 1 species
AUACAGAGGGCUCGUGCGUUAAUCGGAAUUACUGGGCUUAAAGGGUGCGUAGGCGGGCCUGCAAGUGCUUUGUGAAAUACCACGGCUUAACCGUGGAACUGCUUGGCAGACUGCAGGUCUUGAGGUUGGUAGGGGCUGCCGGAACUCUAGGUGUAGCGGUGAAAUGCGUAGAUAUCUAGAGGAACACCAAAGGUGAAGACAGGCAGCUGGGCCAAUCCUGACGCUGAGGCACGAAAGCGUGGGUAGCGAACGGGAUUAGAAACCCCAGUAGUCC